CUACGGGGCGCUGCAGUGAGGAAUAUUGCACAAUGGGGGGAACCCUGAUGCAGCAACGCCGCGUGGAGGAUGACGCAUUUCGGUGUGUAAACUCCUUUUAUAUGUCAAGAAAAUGACGGUAGCAUAUGAAUAAGCACCGGCUAACUCCGUGCCAGCAGCCGCGGUAAUACGGAGGGUGCAAGCGUUACUCGGAAUCACUGGGCGUAAAGGACGCGUAGGCGGGUUGGAAGUCAGGUGUGAAAUCCUACAGCUUAACUGGUAGAACUGCACUUGAAACUUCUAAUCUAGAGUAUGGGAGGGGGAGAUGGAAUUAGUGGUGUAGGGGUAAAAUCCGUAGAUAUCACUAGGAAUACCUAAAGCGAAGGCGAUCUCCUGGAACAUUACUGACGCUAAGGCGUGAAAGCGUGGGGAGCAAACAGGAUUAGAUACCCUUGUAGUC
rnacentral:rRNA from 1 species